rfam:Arabis alpina cultivar Pajares Aa.chr2_contig_1481, whole genome shotgun sequence.
AAUCCAUGAUGAGGGAAAUCUCUUAGGUGUUCCUUAAAGCAUUCCCAAGAAUCAUGGAAACUUUUUAAAGGUCCAUGUUGGAAUCCUUGUAUCUUAUUCCUUAAGAGAUU